rnacentral:rRNA from 1 species
CCGAUGAGAUGGAAACGGAAAGAGGCACCGAAAAUGCUCGUAUUCAGCUGUUAUAUUGUGUAUGUCGGUCCGCUUCGAUCCCGCUAGGGUUGAGCGAACAGGCUUUAUGCGAUGUGACAGUGCAUUUGCGAGUAAUGUGCGCUGCGGCGUGUUGUUGUGCCGCUUGAAGUGCGAUUAGAGGGCCCCGCAUGGGGUAUCCUGGCUGCAUGGAUGGCGAUUUCAGCUGCAUGCAAAGGAAUUGGCCUACGUGCGUGGCGAUUGCUGGAACUGUUCCUUGCAUUGAUCGCGUGCGAUUUGUGCUUGCGAAUGACUUCGGUAGUCGUUGCGUAACCUGUUCCAACUGCGGUGUUAAAGGCGCUCAUCUUUCCGACCCGUCUUGAAACACGGACCAAGGAGUAUACAGUAUGUGCGAGUCAUUGGGUCUGACACCCAAAGGCGUAAUGAAAGUAAAGAUUCCGUAAGGUUUUGAUAUGUGAUCUCGGWUAUUAUUGUAGCUGAGGGCAGCAUAGCCCCGUCUUAAUCGCUUGCGAUAGGGCGGAGGCAGAGCACAUGCUAUGUGACCCGAAAGAUGGUGAACUAUGCUUGAACAGGAUGAAGCCAGAGGAAACUCUGGUGGAAGUCCGAAGCGAUUCUGACGUGCAAAUCGAUCGUCUGAUUUGAGUAUAGGGGCGAAAGACUAAUCGAACCAUCUAGUA